UACGUAGGGGGCAAGCGUUGUCCGGAUUUACUGGGCGUAAAGAGCGUGUAGGCGGCCAAACAGGUCCGUUGUGAAAACUGGAGGCUUAACCUCCAGACGUCGACGGAAACCGUGUGGCUAGAGUCCGGAAGAGGAGAGUGGAAUUCCUGGUGUAGCGGUGAAAUGCGCAGAUAUCAGGAAGAACACCAAUGGCGAAAGGCAGCUCUCUGGGCAUUAACUGACGCUGAGGAGCGAAAGCAUGGGGAGCGAACAGG
rnacentral:rRNA from 1 species